rnacentral:ncRNA from 1 species
AAUUAUCUGCCACCGGGUAGGAAAUGCAGCUGCAUUCAUCUCACAUCAUUAGGUCUUUGAAGAUGUGUCAUGGAUGCUUCUUUUUUU